rnacentral:ncRNA from 2 species
UCUACCAUGCGGGCCGCCGGUUUCCACCACGGAAAUAAUAGGGAAUCCCAGGCCGCCCAGGCGCGCCAAACGGAACUGCCCCCGCAACUGUAAGUGCCGAGCCCGCUCCAUCGAUGCCACUGGAUCAGCCGAUCCGGGAAGGCUGGAGCCGGGUGAUGACGCACCAGUCAGGAGACCUGCCGGCUUACAUUCACCAAC